GGGAAGAUGUUUCUCAGCAACAGUGCUACCCUGCUGGACAGCUGGUGAUUUUUACCAUAAAACAAGAUAGUAAUAAGGAUAGAAUGAGGACACCACCGGCUUUGCUCCAUCCCUUUGGGAAGACAGCACACCCAGAGCUCAAGUCUGCUGCUCAUUCUGGAAGGGGAGAUGUCCUGGGCCCAGGGUUUGGAAAUGUCUUCUUGGACAAGCUUAAGCCGGUCUCAUUGAAGAUUUUCAAUGGCCUUUCGGAAUUACGGGACUUACCCAGCUCUGCCAGGGUUUAUUAAUCCAGCCUAUAAGCUUCUCUAGACCUAGGACUAUGGUGCCUGCACAGAAGAUGUGCUCAACAUAUAACUGAUUAAAUAACUUAAUGAGUAAAUGAAGGACUGGACUCGUUUGUGGGCCAUAUUUGGAGGUGACUUUGAACUUGUCUGAGGCAACAAAGAGAGCAAAGAGAAAGAUAAAGAUGGAGUCCUCAAAGAAUAAACAUGAUUAAGAGCAGAGCCCACAGCUCCAGAUGUGAAAACCAUGACUCGAUUGUCAGUGAGGAGAGACUGGUCCCUGGGGUUUGCUGACCUCCCAGGGAGCAAUGCAUUUCAGAGAGCUGUCAGAGCAGUUUUCUUCUUUAAGCCCUGGUUUGUUAAUUAUUAUUUUUUAUUAUUUAAAAAAU
rnacentral:lncRNA from 1 species